ensembl:rRNA 5_8S_rRNA 5.8S ribosomal RNA
GACUUUUAGUGGUGGAUCACUCAGCUUCUGCGUCAAUGAAGAAAGCAGCUAGCUGGGAGAAUUAAUGUGAACUGCAGGACACAUUGAUCAUCGACACUUCGAAUGCACUUGCAGCCCGGGUUCCUCCCGGGGCUAUGCCUGUCUGAGCAUCA